AUAAAAAUUCUUUAGAUCUUGGAAGCAGACUGUGAAUAUUUGCAUAUGUAUAUCUUUAAUUUUCGCAGAACAGGCUGGCUACCAGAUGGGUGAACCAAAUAAGCCUCCAACAUUUAUCUGAGAGUUCGACGUUUUCCUGUGUUGUUAACCGCAGAGGAAACUAGGUGGUUUGCAGCCACGCUGAGCCGCUGCCAGCCCCCAGCCUUCGAAUAUUUUCACAGGGAGGGGGAGGAGGGAGGGGGCUUUUUCCUCCAAGCCAGAUGGCCGUAUGGAAUCAAUAAAAGUCCGUUUCAAAAGUUUGUUUACUUAACAUUGAAUAUAAUAUGCCUUUGUGGUCCCUUUGCACUGCACAAAAAUGUGAUCCAGCACCGAGCUAAUGAGGAGAGCGCUGCGGAGGACAUCGCUGCACCGGUCGUUGCCUUUUGCACCCACCUCGUGGGCUCUGUGGGGGCUUUUAGGGCUUGUAGGGCUGUGGGGCAGCAGGGACUCUUUCUUUCUUGCUGGAGCUCUGGAUGGUGGUACUUGGGCUGUGAGGAUGUCAGCUGGAUGUUGGGUGUUGGAAAUCAGAUGUUGGAUGUUGGUAGUCAGAUGUCGGAAGUCAGAUGUUGGAUAUUGGAUCCUGGGUGUUGAAAGUUGGAUGUUGGAAGUUGGGUGUUGGAAUUCGGGUGUUGGGUGUCGGAUAUUGGAUAUUGGAAGUUGGGUGUUGGAAUUCGGGUGUUGGGUAUUGGUAGUUGGGUGUUGGAAGUCAGGUGUCGGAUAUUGGAAGCUGGGUGUUGGAAGUCAGAUGUUGGAUAUUGGAUAUUGGAAGUUGGGUGUUGGAAAUUGAGUGUUGGAAGUUGAAUGUCAGAAGUUGGAUGUUAGAUGCUGGGUGUUGGAACUUGGAUGUUGAUUGGGUGCAGCCCCUAAAACCUGUGCAGGAGGAAGGCUCAGCAUGUGUGAAAUAUCUGAAACCUUGUAAGGUAUUCAUCUUGUGCUGUAAUUAUUUUUAAACAUCCCAAAUUAUAUGAGUAGUACAGGGAAAACAAUGUCGGCUUGUCUUUAAAACACAGCCUUUCAUUACGGAAAUCUGUCAUCUGUUAAUUCAUUAGAGCCCCGACAGAAAAAGCUGAGAUCAAAACUAUUUUAAAUGAUUCCUGAUGACACACAAUGGCAAAUUUCAGCCAUUAUUCCGGAAAUGUAACCAUCAUUCUUUCUGCUGGAUUCAACAAGGGUCCUUCCUCUGAUAUUAAUUGACUUCUAAGUAGUUGCACAUGUUGUUGUUGUGUUAUUGCUCAGAUCUCUUUCUGAAGUGCGUGGCGAUGUGAGCAAGAAGCCUUGGGCUCCUCAGAUCUCUCUGUCAGACCCACACAGCACUGAGCUCUUAGCACUGGGAACCAGGGGCUCACCAAGCUCUGGGCUCUGCUGCCUUCACCUGCUUUAGUGAGCGGGGGGCAGUUCGCCUCCAUGAGAAAAAGAAUAAAAAACACCACACAUCUGUUUUGUUUUUCUGUUGGUUUUUUUCUUUCUUUCUUUCCUUUUUUUUUUUUUUUUUUUUCCCUGAAGAUCCAAGGCAGAAUUUCAAAGCAAAUUCCAAAUCUUAUUUUGUUGCCUUUGUUUCCACGACAUCUCUGCGGGCGCAGCUGUCUGCACUGCUCAUGGAGCCAUCCAAGAGCCCGCAUGGCAAACGCAGACCCAAGGUGCUGGGACAGACUCUGUGCUGUUAAUGAAUUUAUUUGUUAGAUGGCAUUAUUGCCACUCAAAGCAAGCUGCAGAAUCCGUGGAGUAUUUGCCAUUUGCAUUGUUUUCCCUUUGCAUUUCAAGCUUGGCUGGGGCAGCGCAGGUGCUGGUGGCCUCGUGAUGCUGGAAAGCCAUGUUCAUCCUCCUUGGUCUUUGUGGCUCAGCUGGUGCUGUGUGGGUAAUGCCUCACAUCUGCUGUGUGCACAGCACAACAUGGUCCUGGGAACCUGAAAGACGUGGAAGAAAACCAAGUCCUGUCCUUCAUGCAGCUUCUGCCACAAGCUCUGCUCCAUUAAUCUUCUUCCUGGCAUCAGUUUUCUGAAGCCUCGGUAUGUAAUGCGUUCAGCAGCACUGCGCGUUUGCUUUUUAUUUCUCCUUCUCCCCUAGGUCUCGUUGGCUUUGUAACAAGGCACAGAACGACCUGAUGAUGGGAAGGAUGUACAGAUGCUUCUCAGUUGGGCACUGUGUGGCUCUGAGCGCUCACCUCGAGCUGCUGGCUCUGCCCCCAGGUGCUCCCCCGUUGGCAGGAGGGAUGCUGCUGCUCCUGUCACAGCUGUCCCCUUAUGGCUGCAGAACCCUUGCUCGGGGCUCCUGAUACCCAGGGCUGGUCCAGGUGCUCCUGGAGCCCAGCCAGCUGUGAUAAAUCUCCUUAAUUGCAGCUCAUUGUAAUUAUGCUUUAUAUGGAGCUGAUGCUAUUACUGCUGGGAGCUUUGGCCUGAUGAAUCCUAAGCAGGAGAUCUCUAGCCCUCCUUGGGGGCUGGGGACAUUGAGCUCCAGGGUUUGCUGGGGCUGGUGGAGCUGGCUUUCAGCCCUGUGCUGCAAUGGGCAGAGUGCAGGAGCAAAGGUAGUGGGGAGAUGGCCAUCCGUACCUCACUUCAUUUUGGUACUGUCCACCCAAGAACCUGUCUGGUGCGUGUGCAGAAGAACCUUCAGCAUUAAUGACCCUCUGACAGGUAAGCGAUCAGAGAAUCAUUACGGUUGGAAAUGGCAUCUGAGAUCCCCACCCCACCAUGCCCACUGACCACGUCCCUCGGUGCCACAUCUCUAUGUUCCCUGAGCAUCCCCAGGGAUGGAGACCUCCACCGCUCCCUGGGCACCCUGUGCUGGUGCAUUACAGCUCUUCAGAGAAGAAAUGUUUCCAGAUGUCCAGCCUGAUCCUCUCCUGGUGCAAUGUGGGACCAUCACCUCUCAUCCAAUCAACACCACUGCCAUCUCCAGCCCUUCUCUAAGCGCUCCAUGCAUCCACAGCAGGACAUAAUAACACCUGUGCUUGGCUGAUGGAUGUUAAAUAACGCUCCUCUCCUGGAUCGAGGCAGAUGGCAUGUAACACUGAGGUCUGUGUGCUGCACUGAUUACCCUGACCCCCUGUUUGGGUUGUCUGGGGCUGAGCUGCUCUCCCUGGAGCUCUGGAGCGGCUGCAGUUCACCAUCGGAAGUUUCUAGAAUUGGACCCAUCAGUAAAGGUAUUGCACAAAAAUGAGCGUGAGGCAAGAGAGCGGUCAGGGUGUGGGAAAUACACUUGGUAUGAAUGACUGUGAGUAUGGACUGAUGCUCCCAGGUGUCAUCACAUGCUCACUGCUGCCUGUCCUCACCCAUCUGCACCGUGUGCGUCUUCAGCUGCAACUGGGCUGCUUGCUUAUCAUACCCAGGUGCCUGCCAAAUGGGAAAGCUGUCUUCAAAAAGAUAUAAGCGGGGAUGAUUCUUAUGCCAUUAUUGCUCAGGGUCUGCUGAAUGCUUGCAGGGCAAAGCAGUGCAUCCUUGAGAAUGUCUGAAAUGCUGUGUUAUAGGCGCACCAGUUGCAAAAUAGAUUUAAAUUACGUCGAGCAACAUGCUGCGGAAUUUAUGCUUCCAAUUUCUCCAUUUAGUGGUGAAUCAGGCUUGUUUGCAUUGCCAGCUAAUCUUUCUGCCAGAGUUGUUAAUGUGCUCUGACCCCUCUUUAACUCUGCAUGCUGAGCUUGCCAUUCAGCUUUUCUCUUUUAGCAGUGAAUCAGCCACAUGUGCCGGAGCCCCACUGCACAGCCCCUGUGGGCUGGAGGUGGCCUUGAGUGGCUUUUCCUGGUGAGACUCUGAGAUUUCAUUUGCUUGCAAGAAACCUGAGUUCUCUAGACGUUGCACCUUGCUUUCUCUGGAAGGCUUCCAGCAUUCAUUCUUGACAGGGAGCCAGCUCAGGCUGCCGUCCUGCUGCUGGAGGGCACUCCCAGCCCGGUGCUGUUGGGAAGCCCUGCUGCUCCCACACCAGCACGGUGCUUUUUGCACUGAGCGUGGCCCAAGUUGCAACCACAGCCCGUGACUCAUUUGCUCAGUGCUUGCCAAGGCUGCUGAGUGGCUCCUGCUGCUCCCAGGGUGCCUCCCGUGCCCUGUAGGCUGCUGCUGCAUCUCCCUUCAUGUUCUGCUGGCACCACAGAUGUCUGUGUACUGCACCUCCUUAAAAUGAUAGAAUCAUUCUGGUUGGAGAAGACCUCUGGGAUCCCCAGCCCAUCCCACCAAGCCCACUGACCAUACAUCCCUCAGUGCCCCACCUCCAUGCUCCCUGGGCACCCCCAGGAAUGGUGACCCCACCACUCCCUGGGCAGCCUGUCCUGGUGUGUUUCAGCUCUUUUGGAAAAUAAAUGUCCCCUAAUAUCCAACCUGAGCUCCCCUGGCACCACUUAAGGCCAUUCCCUAGACAUAAAACCCGAGAACCUUUAGGACCUCUAAGAUCAUCAGGUCCAACCAACCAACCCACCACCAUGACCACUCAUCCAAGUAUUUCUUUAGGGAGGAUGUAGGAUACUGUAGAAGUGCUGUUCCCAGUGCCCAGCGUCCACUCAGGGCUCCCAUGUGUCUGAAGCAUAGCCAACCCGCCUCUAAUGCCCCCUCCUCAGCUGGCGCUAUGGUGCAGUCCCACGUAGAGUAUGCCAACGGGGAAUCCCUCCACGGUGCACUGAGGGCACACUGCCCCCGAUGCACCCGCACGCACGCAGCCUGCAAAAUCGAAUAACAACCAGUUUAAAAACAUACUAAAACCAGAAAAUUUAUGUAGCAUGACCCAAAUUGAAUUAUACAUUACAGCACUGUAAUUGAUUUUUUAGAAGAGAGAUUAAAUUUAUUUUAUGCCUCACUAACUAACAGCUAGAUUUACCUAAUUGCUUAGAGUGCAGAGUUAGUAUGAUUCAUUAAACCCCAUACAUGCCUGGGUACAUUACACUGUGACUAAAGCUUCCCUGCUUCGAGCAAUUAAAGUGGAGAAACUUGGGGCCUCAUAAGUAAUUGAAUAUAACAAUACGGCUUGGAGUUGCUGUGGAUGUCUUAUUAAGUUCUUCAAGCAAAAAGACACACGUUCCCUCUGUUCUCCAGUGAAUCAUUUUGUGAGAUUCUCUAUGACUGGUGUUGUUUUCUCCUAUUGCCAAAAAAUAAAAUAAAAUAAAA
ensembl:lncRNA